CGCACGGGUGAGUAACGCGUAGGUAAUCUACCCUUAUAACUGGGAUAACAUUGGGAAACUGGUGCUAAUACCGGAUACACUUCUAUACUGCGGGGUAAAGGAGGAAAGGUGGCCUCUUCAUGAAAGCUACCGUAUAGGGACGAGCCUGCGUACCAUUAGCUAGUAGGCGGGGUAACGGCCCACCUAGGCAACGAUGGUUAGCGGGUCUGAGAGGAUGGUCCGCCACACUGGAACUGGAACACGGACCAG
rnacentral:rRNA from 1 species